AACGAACGCUGGCGGCAUGCCUAACACAUGCAAGUCGAACGAGCCCUUCGGGGUUAGUGGCGCACGGGUGCGUAACGCGUGGGAAUCUGCCCUUUGCUUCGGAAUAACUGAGAGAAAUUUCAGCUAAUACCGGAUGAUGUCUUCGGACCAAAGAUUUAUCGGCAAGGGAUGAGCCCGCGUAGGAUUAGCUAGUUGGUGGGGUAAUGGCCUACCAAGGCGACGAUCCUUAGCUGGUCUGAGAGGAUGAUCAGCCACACUGGGACUGAGACACGGCCCAGACUCCUACGGGAGGCAGCAGUGGGGAAUAUUGGACAAUGGGGGAAACCCUGAUCCAGCAAUGCCGCGUGAGUGAUGAAGGCCUUAGGGUUGUAAAGCUCUUUUACCAGGGAUGAUAAUGACAGUACCUGGAGAAUAAGCUCCGGCUAACUCCGUGCCAGCAGCCGCAGCAAAAC
rnacentral:rRNA from 1 species